GGCAAGUCUUUCACUUAGCAAUUUACCAACAGCAAAGGCCAAAUUGCUGCAACCAAUUCAAAGUUAGCAUCCCUUUUUGUAAAGUCUUUCACCCUUGGGAAAUGUUUGCCAUUUUUGCAAAUCUUUUUUGUGGUUUCUGUUAAGGCACCUCAUCUUCCCUAUGCCCAUUGCGUAUAGUAAUUGUAUAUAAUAACAAAUAAACCAUCUUAUCAUUUUCGAUUAUAUUUGACUGUCUGCGAAAGUUGAUCAUAUUAAAACUUGUUAAAAAGUUAUUGAAAUUUUAGUUUAUUUAAGACCAUACUAGUUAACUUUAUACUGUUACAUAACUUCUGUUCUGAAGUAAUAAAAACAAAUAGUUAAAACAGCUACGAUUAUCAUAGCAAUUGACGAUUUUUUUACAAAUAGACGCGUUUCAGGUUUGUCAUAAUCAAGAAACUCAAACAUUAUAAUCAGAGCGACUGAAACUGUGGAUAAGAACAAAAUAAAUCCAUUUAAAAGAUGACCAAGUAGAAUCAAAUUGUUCUUGUAGUCCAUGAUCACUGGAACUAAAGCCCUAAUGUCCAUAAUUUAAUUGACGAAUUAAUUGGAUCAGGUUUUUUUGGUAGUCUUCCUUCUUUUUUACAGCUUCAUCCAGCAGCUUUUGCAUACGUUGAAUUUCAGCUUUUUGGUCAGUCACAAUAUCAGGUGAGGGCAGAUGGGUAAUAGUGGUCAAAGUUGUUUAAGGAUCCUUCGUUGUUCUUGACAUGCAAAAGAAGACAAAAAUAAUUAGCAUGGUUAUACGUCCUAAUCGUUUGCCUAGCUAUCUUCUUGUCGAUCAUUUAAAUUUUCGUUUGAAUUACAAUGACUUCGUCUGUUAAAAGAAAUUCCCCCAAAAUGUCAGUACAGUUUCUUUCUGUGUCCAAACCGUCAACAAAUGUACGCAGGAAACAGUUGAGUUUCAUCUCCAUUAUCAAAGUUUUGAAAAAGUUUAGCUUUAUGUCUUUUCCAUUUAUUGAAAUUGGAUUGCAACAAAUGCUGCCAUCUUUGCUUUCGAAACCACCCAGAAGGAAUGAAAUGUCAUUCGGUGUAAUUUUGAAUCUUUGGAAAUCUUCAAGCAAUUCAACCUAAUUCAAUACAAUUAAUAAUGAAUUAUGCAAUUACCUAAUUGUUAGUGGAAAAAAUUACCAAAUUCGAUGGCUUGCAAGUGAUGGACGAUAUCUUUGAAGGAACUAUCGUGACUUUGUCGUAAUUUUUUCUAUUGUCUGCGGUCAGCAUAUAU